UACGUAGGGUGCAAGCGUUAAUCGGAAUUACUGGGCGUAAAGCGUGCGCAGGCGGUUUGCUAAGACCGAUGUGAAAUCCCCGGGCUUAACCUGGGAACUGCAUUGGUGACUGGCAAGCUAGAGUGUGGCAGAGGGGGGUAGAAUUCCACGUGUAGCAGUAAAAUGCGUAGAGAUGUGGAGGAAUACCGAUGGCGAAGGCAGCCCCCUGGGCCAACACUGACGCUCAUGCACGAAAGCGUGGGGAGCAAACAGG
rnacentral:rRNA from 1 species